ACGAACGCUGGCGGCGUGGAUAAGACAUGCAAGUCGAACGGGAGAAUUGCUAGCUUGCUAAUAAUUCUCUAGUGGCGCACGGGUGAGUAACACGUGAGUAACCUGCCUCUUAGUGGGGGAUAGCCCUGGGAAACCGGGAUUAAUACCGCAUACGAUUGAAAGAUCAAAGCAGCAAUGCGCUAGGAGAUGGGCUCGCGGCCUAUUAGUUAGUUGGUGAGGUAACGGCUCACCAAGGCGAUGACGGGUAGCCGGUCUGAGAGGAUGUCCGGCCACACUGGAACUGAGACACGGUCCAGACACCUACGGGUGGCAGCAGUCGAGAAUCAUUCACAAUGGGGGCAACCCUGAUGGUGCGACGCCGCGUGGGGGAAUGAAGGUCUUCGGAUUGUAAACCCCUGUCAUGUGGGAGCAAAUUAAAAAGAUAGUACCACAAGAGGAAGAGACGGCUAACUCUGUGCCAGCAGCCGCGGUAAUACAGAGGUCUCAAGCGUUGUUCGGAAUCACUGGGCGUAAAGCGUGCGUAGGCUGUUUCGUAAGUCGUGUGUGAAAGGCAGGGGCUCAACCCCUGGAUUGCACAUGAUACUGCGAGACUAGAGUAAUGGAGGGGGAACCGGAAUUCUCGGUGUAGCAGUGAAAUGCGUAGAUAUCGAGAGGAACACUCGUGGCGAAGGCGGGUUCCUGGACAUUAACUGACGCUGAGGCACGAAGGCCAGGGGAGCGAAAGGGAUUAGAUACCCCUGUAGUCCUGGCAGUAAACGGUGCACGCUUGGUGUGCGGGGAAUCGACCCCCUGCGUGCCGGAGCUAACGCGUUAAGCGUGCCGCCUGGGGAGUACGGUCGCAAGAUUAAAACUCAAAGAAAUUGACGGGGACCCGCACAAGCGGUGGAGUAUGUGGCUUAAUUCGAUGCAACGCGAAGAACCUUACCUGGGCUUGACAUGUAAUGAACAACAUGUGAAAGCAUGCGACUCUUCGGAGGCGUUACACAGGUGCUGCAUGGCCGUCGUCAGCUCGUGUCGUGAGAUGUUUGGUUAAGUCCAGCAACGAGCGCAACCCCUGUUGCCAGUUACCAGCACGUCAAGGUGGGGACUCUGGCGAGACUGCCCAGAUCAACUGGGAGGAAGGUGGGGACGACGUCAGGUCAGUAUGGCCCUUAUGCCCAGGGCUGCACACGUACUACAAUGCCCAGUACAGAGGGGGCCGAAGCCGCGAGGCGGAGGAAAUCCUGAAAACUGGGCCCAGUUCGGACUGUAGGCUGCAACCCGCCUACACGAAGCCGGAAUCGCUAGUAAUGGCGCAUCAGCUACGGCGCCGUGAAUACGUUCCCGGGUCUUGUACACACCGCCCGUCACAUCGUGGAAGCCGGUCGCACCCGAAGUAUCUGAAGCCAACCGCAAGGAGGCAGGGUCCUAAGGUGAGACUGGUAACUGGGAUG
rnacentral:rRNA from 1 species